rnacentral:lncRNA from 1 species
GCUAUCAUUACUAUCAUUAAGAUUAGACUUCAAUAUAUCGACUGGGUAAACAGGGAGAAGGGCCUAAAGUUGUGAAGGUCAGAUGUAGUCGUUCAGAGAGGCUAUGUAACAGGCUACGCUACGCUGCAGAGAGGCUAUGUAACAGGCUACGCUAUGCUGUAGAGAGGCUAUGUAACAGGCUACGCUAUGCUGUAGAGAGGCUAUGUAACAGGCUACGCUAUGCUGUAGAGAGGCUAUGUAACAGGCUACGCUACGCUGCAGAGAGGCUAUGUAACAGGCUACGCUACGCUGCAGAGAGGCUAUGUAACAGGCUACGCUACACUGCAGAGAGGCUAUGUAACAGGCUAUGCUGUAGAGAGGCUAUGUAACAGGCUACGCUAUGCUGUAGAGAGGCUAUGUAACAGGCUACGCUAUGCUGUAGAGAGGCUAUGUAACAGGCUACACUGCAGAGAGGCUAUGUAACAGGCUAUGCUGUAGAGAGGAAAUGUAACAGGCUACGCUACGCUGCAGUGAGGCUAUGUAACAGGCUACGCCGUAGAGAGGCUAUGUAACAGGCUACGCUGCAGAGAGGCUAUGUAACAGGCUACGCUGCAGAGAGGCUAUGUAACAGGCUACGCCGCGCUGCAGAGAGGCUAUGUAACAGGCUACGCUGUGCUGCAGAGAGGCUAUGUAACAGGCUACGCUGCAGAGAGGCUAUGUAACAGGCUAC